rnacentral:tRNA from 1 species
GCAAAUGUAGUUUAAUGGUAAAACUCUAGCUUGCCAUGCUAGUAACGGGAGUUCGAUUCUCCUCAUUUGCUCCA